GUAAUUGAUGAGAUAUCUAGUCGUUUCUCUUGUUCCUUGCGUGAUGAAAGUCCCAACCCUAAUUUAACCCACAAUUAAAGAAGGGCUCUGCUUUGCUGACCAUUAAAACCCGUUUUGAUUCUCACCAAAGUCAUCACUGAUCUCAUCGCUCAAUCGACAAGCAUAUAUAUAUAUAUAUAUAUACAUCCAUAAAGCACACAACACACACACACUUAUAUCAUUGUCUCUGCGGUUUAUCUGUGAUCUUUCAACAAUAUAUCUUUCAAAAAAGCUAGGGUUUUUCGGGAGCUGAUUGUACUAGUUUCGUGCUUGAGCUCAUCAUCUACCGAAAGGUUUACAUUUUGUCUUGAAGAUAGAAGGAGAUCCAAAUU